rnacentral:rRNA from 1 species
GAUGAACGCUGGCGGCGUGCCUAACACAUGCAAGUCGAACGGAAAGGCCCUGCUUUUGUGCGGUGCUCGAGUGGCGAACGCGUGAGUGACACGUGAGUAUCCUGCCCUUGUCUUUGGGGUAACUUCACGAAACUGGGGCUAAUAUAGGAUAGGAUAUCCCGCACCGUGGUGAGCGUUGGAAAGUUUCGGCGGUUGGGGAUGGACUAGCGGCUUAUCCGCUUGUUGGUUGGGUAGGGGCUGACCAAGGCUUUGGCGGGUAGGCGGCCCGAGAGGGUGACCGGGCUCAUUGGGACUGAGGUACGGCCCAGACUCCUACGGGAGGCAGCAGUGGGGAAUCUUGCACAAUGGGCGCACGCCUGUUGCAGCGGCGCUGCGUGCGGGAUGACGUCCUUCGGGUUGUAAACCGCUUUCGCCUGUGACGAAGCGUGAGUGACGGUAAUGGGUAAAGAAGCACCGGCUAACUACGUG